rnacentral:lncRNA from 1 species
GGACAAGGACGAAUUAAUUUGAAGAUGACUUCUGAAAAAGUUCUUACCCUGAUGGAUGUAUUGUAUGUUCAAACUUUAGGAAGAAUCUAGUCAGUGGAUCUCAGCUGGUCCAGAAAAGAUAUAAAAUUGUCCUUGAUUAUAAUAAAGUUGUGAUAACUAAGAAUAAUACCUUCAUAGGAAGAGGAUAUGUAAGUGAAGGCUUAUUCAAAUUAAAUGUA